AGAGCGAACGCUGGCGGCAGGCUUAACACAUGCAAGUCGAGCGGGCGUAGCAAUACGUCAGCGGCAGACGGGUGAGUAACGCGUGGGAACGUACCUUUUGGUUCGGAACAACCCAGGGAAACUUGGGCUAAAUACCGGAUAAGCCCUUACGGGGAAAGAUUUAUCGCCGAAAGAUCGGCCCGCGUCUGAUUAGCUAGUUGGUGAGGUAAUGGCUCACCAAGGCGACGAUCAGUAGCUGGUCUGAGAGGAUGAUCAGCCACAUUGGGACUGAGACACGGCCCAAACUCCUACGGGAGGCAGCAGUGGGGAAUAUUGGACAAUGGGCGCAAGCCUGAUCCAGCCAUGCCGCGUGAGUGAUGAAGGCCCUAGGGUUGUAAAGCUCUUUUGUGCGGGAAGAUAAUGACGGUACCGCAAGAAUAAGCCCCGGCUAACUUCGUGCCAGCAGCCGC
rnacentral:rRNA from 1 species